AUCUAGCUGACGAAUCUUAAAUAGGACGAAACGCACGUCCUGGAU
rnacentral:hammerhead_ribozyme from 1 species